AUUGAACGCUGGCGGCAUGCCUUACACAUGCAAGUCGAACGGCAGCACGGGUGCUUGCCCCUGGUGGCGAGUGGCGAACGGGUGAGUAAUACAUCGGAACAUGUCCUGUAGUGGGGGAUAGCCCGGCGAAAGCCGGAUUCAUACCGCAUACGAUCUACGGAUUAAAGCGGGGGACCUUCGGGCCUCGCGCUAUAGGGUUGGCCGAUGGCUGAUUAGCUAGUUGGUGGGGUAAAGGCCUACCAAGGCGACGAUCAGUAGCUGGUCUGAGAGGACGACCAGCCACACUGGGACUGAGACACGGCCCAGACUCCUACGGGAGGCAGCAGUGGGGAAUUUUGGACAAUGGGCGAAAGCCUGAUCCAGCAAUGCCGCGUGUGUGAAGAAGGCCUUCGGGUUGUAAAGCACUUUUGUCCGGAAAGAAAUCCUUGGCCCUAAUACGGUCGGGGGAUGACGGUACCGGAAGAAUAAGCACCGGCUAACUACGUG
rnacentral:rRNA from 1 species